rnacentral:rRNA from 1 species
AGCGAACGCUGGCGGCAGGCCUAACGCAUGCAAGUCGAACGGACCCUUCGGGGUUAGUGGCGGACGGGUGAGUAACACGUGGGAACGUGCCUUUAGGUUCGGAAUAGCUCCUGGAAACGGGUGGUAAUGCCGAAUGUGCCCUUCGGGGGAAAGAUUUAUCGCCUUUAGAGCGGCCCGCGUCUGAUUAGCUAGUUGGUGAGGUAAAGGCUCACCAAGGCGACGAUCAGUAGCUGGUCUGAGAGGAUGACCAGCCACGUUGGGACUGAGACACGGCCCAAACUCCUACGGGAGGCAGCAGUGGGGAAUCUUGCGCAAUGGGCGAAAGCCUGACGCAGCCAUGCCGCGUGAAUGAUGAAGGUCUUAGGAUUGUAAAAUUCUUUCACCGGGGACGAUAAUGACGGUACCCGGAGAAGAAGCCCCGGCUAACUUCGUGCCAGCCGCCGCCGUAA